AGAGUUUGAUCCUGGCUCAGGAUGAACGCUGGCGGCGUGCUUAACACAUGCAAGUCGAGCGGGAAUUAGUUAGGUGCUUGCACCUAACUAAUUUUAGCGGCGGAGCGGCGGACGGGUGAGUAACGCGUGGGUAACCUGCCUUAUACAGGGGGAUAACAUAUUGAAAAGUAUGCUAAUACCGCAUAAGCGCACAAUAUCGCAUGAUAUGGUGUGAAAAGCUGAGACGGUAUAAGAUGGACCCGCGUCUGAUUAGCUAGUAGGUGAGGUAAUGGCUCACCUAGGCGACGAUCAGUAGCCGACCUGAGAGGGUGAUCGGCCACAUUGGGACUGAGACACGGCCCAAACUCCUACGGGAGGCAGCAGUGGGGAAUAUUGCACAAUGGGGGAAACCCUGAUGCAGCGACGCCGCGUGAAGGAUGAAGGUUUUCGGAUCGUAAACUUCUAUCAGCAGGGACGAUAAUGACGGUACCUGACUAAGAAGCCCCGGCUAACUACGUGCCAGCAGCCGCGGUAAUACGUAGGGGGCAAGCGUUAUCCGGAAUUACUGGGUGUAAAGGGUGCGUAGGCGGUAAUGUAAGUCAGGUGUGAAAGCCCGAAGCUCAACUUCGGGAUUGCACUUGAAACUACAUAACUAGAGUACAGGAGAGGUGAGUGGAAUUCCUAGUGUAGCGGUGAAAUGCGUAGAUAUUAGGAGGAACACCAGUGGCGAAGGCGACUCACUGGACUGUAACUGACGCUGAGGCACGAAAGCGUGGGGAGCGAACAGGAUUAGAUACCCUGGUAGUCCACGCUGUAAACGAUGAAUGCUAGGUGUCGGGGGUCAAAGCCCGGUGCCGCAGCUAACGCAUUAAGUAUUCCGCCUGGGGAGUACGGUCGCAAGACUGAAACUCAAAGGAAUUGACGGGGACCCGCACAAGCAGUGGAGCAUGUGGUUUAAUUCGAAGCAACGCGAAGAACCUUACCAGGUCUUGACAUCCCUCUGACCGGUACAGAGAUGUACCUUUCCUUCGGGACAGAGGAGACAGGUGCUGCAUGGUUGUCGUCAGCUCGUGCCGUGAGGUGUCGGGUUAAGUCCCAUAACGAGCGCAACCCUUAUCGUUAGUUGCCAGCGGAUCAUGCCGGGGACUCUAGCGAGACUGCCACCGUAAGGUGUGAGGAAGGUGGGGAUGACGUCAAAUCAGCACGGCCCUUAUGUCCAGGGCUACACACGUGUUACAAUGGCCGAUACAAAGGGCAGCUACCAGGUGACUGGAUGCUAAUCUCCAAAGUCGGUCUCAGUUCGGAUCGAAGUCUGCAACCCGACUUCGUGAAGCUGGAUUCGCUAGUAAUCGCAUAUCAGCCAUGAUGCGGUGAAUACGUUCCCGGGCCUUGUACACACCGCCCGUCAAACAAUGGAAGCUGGGGGUGCCUGAAGUUCGUGAACGCAAGGAGCGACCUAGGGUAAAACCAAUGACUGGGGCUAAGUCGUAACAAGGUACC
rnacentral:rRNA from 1 species